rnacentral:rRNA from 1 species
UCAGUUGGCUUAUAAUUGAAGUCUAGUAUGAAUGGGAGCUCGGGGAUAUUCUGUCCUUUAUUUACGAUUUAGAAAUUACUAAUUAAGUGAAAAUUCUUAAACCUUUAGAAAAAAGACGAGAAGACCCUAGAAAUUUUUUAUUAUAUAUUUUGUUGGGGCGACAAGGUAACAUAAAACUUACCUAUACAAUAGGAAAUUUUUUAGUUGGGUAAAUAAAUUACUCUAGGGAUAACAGCAUAAUAUUUUAAAGUUUGUGACCUCGAUGUUGGACUAGGAAAUACCCUACU